UAGUCAAUGCUCGCAAGAGUGAACUAGCUAACUGAAAUCAUAUAAGUGUCUUAUGUGAUGUCGUAAGGGAGAAUGAUGAUAUUACCUUACUAAUAGUGUCGUCUAAAACUGGUGCCAGAAGACUCGGUAAGGCCAGAGACACAAAUGUUAAUCGUCUUAAACAGGCGUAAAGGGUUUGUAGGCUGCUUUGAAAGUAUUGAUUUAAUAGCCUAAGUAAAUUAAAAAAUAUUAAAUAUUUAGAUUAACUAAAUUAACGAUAUAUUUAAUAUAUAAUAUUUAAUAUUUAGAUUAACUAAAAUUAACUAUAUAUUUAAUAUUUAAUUUUUAAUUUUUAGUUUUUAAUAUUAAUUUAUUAAAAGUUUAAGUUUAAUUUCUUGAAAAUCAAGAAAUUAAAUUUUAAAUAUAAUUAUUAAAAAGUUUACUUUACGUAGAUCAAUAUGAAUUAAAGCUAGAAUCUAAUAGAGGAUAUUUACGAAACAAUGCUUGGUCGAGGGCUGAUAUCCUAAGACACCAAGUGGAGUUCUAACGGCGUAAGCAUUUAUCCAUUAAAGAUUGACGCUGAGAAACGAAGGUGAGGAUAGGAAAUAGGAUUAGAUACCCAGAUACCCCUCUCUGUCAACGAUGAAUGGUAGUUUGUUAGUCAAAGGACUAGUGACGAAGUUAACACGAUAACCAUUCCGCCUUGUGAGUACGACUGCAAAGUUGAAAACAAAAAAAUUAGUCG
rnacentral:rRNA from 1 species